UACGUAGGGUGCAAGCGUUGUCCGGAAUUAUUGGGCGUAAAGAGCUCGUAGGCGGUCUGUCGCGUCUGCUGUGAAAACUCGGGGCUUAACUCCGGGCCUGCAGCGGGUACGGGCAGACUAGAGUGCGGUAGGGGAGACUGGAAUUCCUGGUGUAGCGGUGAAAUGCGCAGAUAUCAGGAGGAACACCGGUGGCGAAGGCGGGUCUCUGGGCCGUAACUGACGCUGAGGAGCGAAAGCAUGGGGAGCGAACAGG
rnacentral:rRNA from 1 species